rnacentral:misc_RNA from 1 species
GAUGAAGAACGUAGCAAAAUGCGAUAAGUAAUGUGAAUUGCAGAAUUCAGUGAAUCAUCGAAUCUUUGAACGCACAUUGCGCUCGCCAGUAUUCUGGCGGGCAUGCCUGUUCGAGCGUCAUUUCAACCCUCAAGCACAGCUUGGUGUUGGGACUCGCGUUAAUUCGCGUUCCCCAAAUUGAUUGGCGGUCACGUCGAGCUUCCAUAGCGUAGUAGUAAAACCCUCGUUACUGGUAAUCGUCGCGGCCACGCCGUUAAACCCCAACUUCUGAAUGUUGACCUCGGAUCAUGUAGGAAUACCCGCUGAACUUAAGCAUAUCAAUAAGCGGAGGA